rnacentral:RNase_P_RNA from 1 species
AAAGUCGGCCAGGCAAUCGCCGCGUGCUUUGGCACGGGGAGGAAAGUCCGGGCUUCACAGGGCAGGAUGCCAGCUAACGGCUGGGCGCUAUAAGCCGCAAGGUAAAGGCGACGGAAAGUGCAACAGAAAACAGACCGCCGAUGGCCCGCAAGGGAACAGGCAAGGGUGAAACGGUGCGGCAAGAGCGCACCGCGUCCACGGUAACGGCGGACGGCACGGCAAACCCCAUCCGAAGCAAGACCAAACAGGGAGCCAUAGCGCGGCCCGCGCUGCCCCCGGGUAGGUCGCUUGAACCUGUCGGCAACGGCAGGUCUAGAGGAAUGAUUGCCGAACCUCGCAAGAGGGGAACAGAACCCGGCUUAUCGGCCGACUUUCCAA